CUGCGGUGAUGACCACUUAGGACACCUUUGGAUUGAACCAUGAAAACAAACUGUUAACUCUGAGCAGC
rnacentral:snoRNA from 1 species